rnacentral:misc_RNA from 1 species
GUAGGUGAACCUGCGGAAGGAUCAUUAUUGAAAUACAGGCUGUUUUGCUGGUUCUCUCAAGGGGGGACAUGUGCACGCUUGUUUGUGUCUUUAUUUUUCCAACUGUGCACAUUUUGUAGACCUGCAUGCAGGUUCUAUGUUGUAAUACAUCUUCACAACUUGUUUCAGAAUGUCGAGUACUGGGGAUAACAAAUAUACAACUUUCAGCAACGGAUCUCUUGGCUCUC